CGAGUUCGCGUUUGUGGAGUUCGUGUCUGCGCUUCCAUCGAAGGUACAUGAUUCCUAUUUGUUGUGAGAGUGAAAUGAUGGGCAGCAGCACCAACUGAGGGCUAUCAUUUACUACUGCUAAUUGGCGUUGCUGUGGAAGCGCUUUGAUUAUAUCUUUGAAGCCUCAAAGUCAGGUAUUUAUAUCUUUGAUUCGAAAACUAAUUUGAAAUUGUUGUUGUAUGCAUUACUGGUAUAUUUGUAACUU